rnacentral:rRNA from 1 species
AACGAACGCUGGCGGCAUGCCCAACACAUGCAAGUCGAACGAGACCUUCGGGUCUAGUGGCGCACGGGUGCGUAACGCGUGGGAACCUGCCCUUAGGUUCGGAAUAACUCCCCGAAAGGGGUGCUAAUACCGGAUAAUGUCUUCGGACCAAAGAUUUAUCGCCUUUGGAUGGGCCCGCGUUGGAUUAGCUAGUUGGUAGGGUAAAAGCCUACCAAGGCGACGAUCCAUAGCUGGUCUGAGAGGAUGAUCAGCCACACUGGGACUGAGACACGGCCCAGACUCCUACGGGAGGCAGCAGUGGGGAAUAUUGGACAAUGGGCGAAAGCCUGAUCCAGCAAUGCCGCGUGAGUGAUGAAGGCCUUAGGGUUGUAAAGCUCUUUUACCCGGGAUGAUAAUGACAGUACCGGGAGAAUAAGCUCUGGCUAACUCCGUG